GACGAACGCUGGCGGCGUGCUUAACACAUGCAAGUCGAACGGAAAGGCCUGCUUUCCCUUGUGGAUUGCGGGUACUCGAGUGGCGAACGGGUGAGUAACACGUGAGUGAUCUGCCUCCAACUUGGGUAUAAGCCUGGGAAACUGGGUCUAAUUCCCGAUAGGACUGCAGGGUGGUGCCUGUGGUGGAAAACGAUUUUCUAGUGGUUGGGGAUGAGCUCGCGGCCUAUCAGCUUGUUGGUGGGGUAAUGGCCUACCAAGGCGGCGACGGGUAGCCGGCCUGAGAGGGUGGACGGCCACAUUGGGACUGAGAUACGGCCCAGACUCCUACGGGAGGCAGCAGUGGGGAAUAUUGCACAAUGGGCGGAAGCCUGAUGCAGCGACGCCGCGUGGGGGAUGACGGCCUUCGGGUUGUAAACUCCUUUCGACCGCGAGGAAGCCACCUGGUUGGAAGGGUGGUGACGGUAGUGGUAGAAGAAGCACCGGCUAACUACGUG
rnacentral:rRNA from 1 species